GAUGAACGCUGGCGGCGUGCCUAAUACAUGCAAGUCGAGCGAACGGACGAGAAGCUUGCUUCUCUGAUGUUAGCGGCGGACGGGUGAGUAAUACGUGGAUAACCUACCUAUAAGACUGGGAUAACUUCGGGAAACCGGAGCUAAUACCGGAUAAUAUUUUGAACCGCAUGGUUCAAAAGUGAAAGACGGUCUUGCUGUCACUUAUAGAUGGAUCCGCGCUGCAUUAGCUAGUUGGUAAGGUAACGGCUUACCAAGGCAACGAUGCAUAGCCGACCUGAGAGGGUGAUCGGCCACACUGGAACUGAGACACGGUCCAGACUCCUACGGGAGGCAGCAGUAGGGAAUCUUCCACAAUGGGCGAAAGCCUGACGGAGCAACGCCGCGUGAGUGAUGAAGGUCUUCGGAUCGUAAAACUCUGUUAUUAGGGAAGAACAUAUGUGUAAGUAACUGUGCACAUCUUGACGGUACCUAAUCAGAAAGCCACGGCUAACUACGUG
rnacentral:rRNA from 1 species